GCAGGCGCGGCUACCAUGCAGUCGAGCGGCAGCGGGGGAAGCUUGCUUUCCCGCCGGCGAGCGGCGGACGGGUGAGUAAUGUCUGGGAAACUGCCUGAUGGAGGGGGAUAACUACUGGAAACGGUAGCUAAUACCGCAUAACGUCUACGGACCAAAGUGGGGGACCUUCGGGCCUCGUGCCAUCGGAUGUGCCCAUAUGGGAUUAGCUAGUAGGUGGGGUAACGGCUCACCUAGGCGACGAUCCCUAGCUGGUCUGAGAGGAUGACCAGCCACACUGGAACUGAGACACGGUCCAGACUCCUACGGGAGGCAGCAGUGGGGAAUAUUGCACAAUGGGCGCAAGCCUGAUGCAGCCAUGCCGCGUGUAUGAAGAAGGCCUUCGGGUUGUAAAGUACUUUCAUCGGGGAGGAAGGCGUUGUGGUUAAUAACCGGAGCAAUUGACGUUACCCGCAGAAUAAGCACCGGCUAACUCCGUGCCAGCAGCCCGGGGUAAUAA
rnacentral:rRNA from 1 species